GACCGACGAAGGAGGGGCGGCGGCAUCAGGGGUGGCACGAAUCUCUAGGUGGGGGUUAUGGAGAUGCUGAAGGGUUACGUGGCGGGGGGGCCGAUCCGGGCCCGCAAGGCGGCGGCGGCGGCGGCCCAAUGCGGGGGUCGCGGAGCCGCCGGAGGUGGCCGGAGGCGGUGCGCGGCGGCGUGGGUGCGGUGCUCCCGGCCCGAGACGGCUGCGGCGGAGGCGGCGGGGCUGACGGCGGAGGCGGCGGAGGGCCGUGGAGGGAAGGGGCUGGCGGAAAGGCUCCGGCUGGGGAGGCUGGUGGAGGACGGGCUGUCGUACAAGGAGAGCUUCAUCGUGAGGUGCUACGAGGUGGGGAUCAACAAGACCGCCACUGUCGAGACAAUCGCCAACCUCCUCCAGGAAGUUGGGGGCAGCCAUGCACAGAGUGUUGGGUUUUCUACGGAUGGGUUCGCCACGACGCCCACCAUGAGGAAACUUCGCCUCAUAUGGGUGACUUCUCGCAUGCACAUAGAGAUAUACAAGUAUCCUGCCUGGUGGGUGCACAGAUUUGUAUCAGUACUUCUAAUUUCCAAGCUUUUAGCUGCAGCUUACUGUGUGCUCUGGCUUAGGGGUGAUGUUGUCGAGAUUGAAACAUGGUGCCAAGGGGAAGGAAAAAUAGGCACCAGGCGUGAUUGGAUUCUCAAGGAUUUGGCUACUGGUGAUGUUAUUGGUAGAGCUACCAGCAAGUGGGUAAUGAUGAACCAAGACACUAGGAGGCUUCAGCGAGUAAGUGAUGAAGUGAGGGAAGAAUAUCUUGUUUUCUGCCCAAGAACUCCUAGAUUAGCAUUUCCAGAGGAGGAUAAUGGCAGCUUGAAAAAAAUUCCGAAACUUGAAGAUCCUGCAGAAUAUUCACAAUUGGGACUUGUUCCCAGAAGAGCUGAUUUAGACAUGAACCAACAUGUAAACAAUGUUACUUACAUCGGAUGGGUCCUAGAAAGCAUGCCUCAAGAAAUUAUCGACACCCAUGAACUGCAGACAAUCACCCUGGAUUACAGGCGAGAGUGCCAGCAUAAUGACGUGGUUGAUUCUCUCACGAGUCUCGAAUUGGCAGAUGAUGAUAGAACAAAUGGGUCUGCCAAUGGAAAGCAACAUGAGCAAGAGCUACCUCAGUUUUUGCAUCUCUUGAGAUUGUCAGGCACUGGACUUGAAAUAAAUCGGGGCCGCACUGAGUGGAGGAAGUUGAUUCGAUGAUGUUUUUGUUAGAGCAUUUUUAGUUUAUCUGUCAAUUUAGCUUUUUUCACCAUUUCAGUUCUUUAUUUUGCUUAUUACUUCUGUUGUCUCUGUUCUUUCGAGUGCAAGCAUUACACAGUCAUUUCACUGUUGUACUUUUCUUCCUUUCAUCAAUCAUUUAAUGUAAUUGCGUAGAUUUUGCAUCAAUUUGUAUGGUAAAUUGGGUGAUGAGGUUAUUUUUAACUGGGAGACUAAUAUAUCAGUUUCAUUUUUGCUAAGUUUGAUACUGCCAUUCAUGUCAGAUUAUUAAAAAGUGUUAAAUAUGAGGUUCUUGAGAGGUAGGAGAACAUUCAAUUCUCAGAAUGAGUACCUAAAUAUGCUUCAAUAUACUAUAAUUGUGCAGAACAAUAUUUCUCGCUCUCUCUCCCUCUCUCUCUCUUAAAAAAGCAGAUUUGGUGUUCUCUUAAGGUGCUUGAAAUUGAGAUGAGCUUCUGCAAUGCUUGAAAGUGAUGGUUUCUUAUAGAUUGUCUUCCAUUUGCUCUAUGAUAUUUCACUAUUUGCUUUCAUAGGAAUUCUAUAUCAUAUUUUAACUUUGUUGAAAAUGCUGAAAGUGAACUUUUCUAAUCAUUGAAUAACUUGUUAAUUCCACUUAAAACAACCAAAAAUAUGAUGAGAAUGUAAUAACAAUCUAAUGAGCUACAUUUAUGCUCGCUCUCUCUCUCUCGGAUUUUGUAUUUUAGUUACCUUUUCCUUGGAUGUUACAUACAUAACUAGUCUUUUCUACGAACAGCAAUUGUCAAUUUACAAUUUUCAUUUUUGGUCUUUUCUCGAAAGAAAUCUUCAUUUUGUUUUCCUACAUAUAUGCUUGCUGGCAUGCACCAACUACUAUAAUUUUAGUAGCAGUAAUGAAUUUUGUAUGAUGAUCUUGUGGAUUGGAAAUUUUUUUGGGGCCUUUACCUUCGUAGUUUUGCAAUCUAGAAUUUAAUUUCUCCUCAACCCUUUUGCGUCUUGCACAUUUCAUGAUGGAUGAGUGAUGUGUAGGUUCCCUUGCUGUUUUCCCUGCAGGAACCUAUGCAUCCAUUGGAUGGGAAUCCAAUGGUAGUGUUGCAAAACUGAAUACAGGCUGCUCUAGCUGGGCUCGACAUGGAAUGCAGCUGCUCAGAUGUAGAGGCAAUGCUGCGAUGUAUGGGGGCCAUUGGAUAUCAUUCAUGGCUGUAUCCAAGGGCUCGCAGAUUCCAUGGUUUUGCAGGAACAAGCGAGGCAUACCACUUCCCCCUAAGUGAGGUGAUGAUAUGGAGUAGAAGGCUAGAAACCCAGUGCCGUGCCCAAUCAAGUAGUAUCUCCUAUCAUGCAGUAGAAGUCGUGUUCAUAUGUGCUAGGUUUUUUGAGUUAUGAAUGUGAUGCAUGGUGCUGGGCUGCAGGACUUGUGGAACUAAAGCCAAGUUGCUUAUUGCGCAUGGUUGCUAACUCUGGCCUAGAUAUCAAUUUGCAGUGGUCUUAGGAAUCUUAGUUCGAAUAAAUCAUUAUACUUUUGGAUAUUAGUCUAAACAACAUUAUAUUUGUUCAGGUUUCUAUCAACUUGUUAUAAUUUUUAGUUCUGAGAUCGA